GAUUAACGCGAAGAACCUUACCAGGGUUUGACAUGUGCCGACAUCCCAUGAAAGUGGGCUCUCCCGCAAGGGAGCGGCAACACAGAUGUUGCAUGGCUGUCGUCAGCUCGUGUCGUGAGAUGUUGGGUUAAGUCCCGCAACGAGCGCAACCCUCAUCCCAUGUUGCCAGCGGGUCACGCCGGGAACUCUUGGGAAACUGCCUGGGUAACCGGGAGGAAGGUGAGGAUGACGUCAAGUCAGCAUGGCCCUUACACCCUGGGCUACAAACAUGCUACAAUGGACGGUAGACAAAGAGAGCCGAGACCGCGAGGGGGAGGCAAUCUCAAAAAUCCGUUCUCNGUUCGGAUCGCAGGCUGCAACUCGCCUGCGUGAAGCCGGAAUCGCUAGCAACCGCAGGUCAGCUAAACUGCGGUGAAUACGUUCCCGGGCCUUGUACACACCGAAUCACUAGU
rnacentral:rRNA from 1 species